ensembl:lncRNA
CAUCUUACUCUGAAUCUGAUGAAGUUGCUUUAUUCCCUAGUGAAAAUGGAUUAAUAUUGGGCUCACAAAACUGUUAACAAUAGAAAAGGUUGGUCUGAAAAAGUUGGAAUAUCAUCAGCUUUGCAUCCACAAAUUGAAUGGUAAAAAGCCAAAUACUUUCUGCAUUUGAAGCUAUUUGCACUCUUAUUUUAUUAUAUGAAAUGCUUUGCUGUUGCACUGGAAAGUCCUUGUAUUACUCACUCUAUUUUUCUUGUGUAGAUCCAUAAUAAGUCUUUUAAUAAUAGAGAUCCAAGGCAAGUACAAUCAAGAAUCAGAUCCCAAACAUUCACCCAGAACUUUUAAAAAUGAAUUGUGCUAGAAUUUCUUAACAGUAAUAGUGAUGAUAAUAGUAAUUUUCUUUUUUUUUUUUUUCUUUAAAGUGAACCCAGGGUUGCGGGCUGCAUAACUCCUGUAUCAACUUGAUCACCAGCUUAAAAUACACUUCACAGAGAAUCAAAAACCUAAAAGUCCUGGUAACUGGGCAGGUUGCAGGUGGAACACAGAGUGGAACUGCAAGCUGGGGAGGAGCCAUGGUACAAGAGAUAUGUGCACUGUCCUUUGAUGUUGCACAAUGCUGUACCCCAACUUCGGCUCUGAAUCAGGUAUUUGGAGCCAGUGGAUCUUUGCCUUGGAGAUUGAAUGAGGACAUAUAACUGUAUGGUGUAAGACCGGACUACGGCCAUAGCAUACUGCAUCUUUUUUGCUGGUAGCUGUGAGAGACCGCUGGGACACAGAAAAACAGCAAAGAGCUUUAUGGCCACAUAGCUCAGUAUUCUGAGAUGAAUCAACAGUAUCUUCCAGGGGUGUGGAUGUGAAAGGAAGAUGAAGGGGGAAGAAGAGAGAAGUCUGAAAGGACUGUGUAAAAUGACAGGUGGAAAGUCAGAGCCCAUGGAGAAAAGCUUGCUUUUAGAUAAAAGCUUAUGGAAAAUUAAUUGAAACAAACACAGUGCACUUUCCUCAGAGAAGACACAGGUCCAGUAGUACCUUGUGAAGACUCACAUGACUUUUUGAUGUCCUUAAUCAAGAAUAAUUUUCUAUGCAACUCUUCUUCCUUAGUGCAUUUUAGACAGAGUUUCAAAACUCAGCUAUCAUCCUUUGUAUGCAAUUAGUUGUGGUCUUGUCCACCUCGCUUGCAUUGCAGUUAUCUCACUGAAAUGAGCUGCCAAUCUCACUUGGUGACCAUAACUAAUAGAGUAGGACUACCACCCAAGUUCAGCUUCUUUAGAUUUAAAACAGAGUUCUAUGAAACAAGGAAAUAGUUGAAGUAAAAUAUAGCUUUAUGCUUUGCCCUCUGUCUUUAAGACAAUACAAAACCAGAUUUUUAAAUAUAAACAAUGUGGUAGUUCUGGAUAUAUUUACCAGUGUUCUUUAUUGAGGGAGUGCGUGUUUAUAUU